rnacentral:rRNA from 1 species
AAUGAACGUUGGCGGCGUGGAUUAGGCAUGCAAGUCGUGCGAGAAGUUGGUUAGCUUGCUAACCGACGGACAGCGGCGAAAGGGAGAGUAACGCGUGGUUACGUGCCCCGAAGACCGGGAUAGUGUUGGGAAACUGGCAGUAAUACCGGAUAAUAUCUUUGGAUCAAAUGGUGUGAUUCCGCUUUGGGAUCGGACCGCGUACUAUUAGCUUGUUGGCGGGGUAAUGGCCCACCAAGGCUCAGAUGGUUACCGGGUGUGAGAGCAUGGCCCGGCUCACUGGGACUGAGACACUGCCCAGACAUCUACGGAUGGCUGCAGUCGAGAAUCUUCGGCAAUGGACGAAAGUCUGACCGAGCGACGCCGCGUGCGGGAUGAAGGCCCUCGGGUUGUAAACCGCUGUCAGUUAGGAGGAAAUCUAUGAGGGCACUCUCUCAUAGUUGACCGAUUUUCAGAGGAAGGACGGGCUAAGUUCGUGCCAGCCGCCGCCGUAACAC